UCAAGUCAGUGAAUAUGUCUUGGACUAUAUUUACAUUCUAUUACGAAGAAAUACAAACGGUAUGACACGCUAUGGUAAAUCUCUGUGGAAUAGACAGUUCUCAAAAACUGAGUGACUGCGCAUAAGGAGAAGAGUGAGGAAAGUUACCAAGACAA